UUUUAAAUGUUAGCAAACUUGAUGAACAAAUUGUGUAAAAUUGUCUUUAAAGGGCAAUAACUCCUUAAGGGGUCAAUUGACAAUUUUGGUCAUAUUAACUUUUUUGUAGAUCUUACUUUGCUGAACAUUAUUGCUGCUUACAGUUUAUGUAUAUCUAUAAUAAUAUUCAAAAUAAUAACAAAAAACUGCAAAAUUUUGUUAAAACUACCAAUUCGGUGGCAGCAACCCAACAAUGGGUUGUUCGAUUCAUCUGAUAAUUUCAGAGCUGAUAGAUCUUGACCAAUUGAAUAAUUUUACCCCAUGUCACAUUUGCUCUAAAAGAUUUAGUUUUUGAGAUAUAAGCCAAUAAAAUGCUCCGCAGGGCGCAGCUUGAUACGACCGCAGAGGUCGAACCCUGAACAGUUGGGGCAAGUAUGGACACAACAUUCAAGCUUGAUACAGCUCUGAAUUUGGAUUGUAAUUAAAUAUUUGACACAGCAUAGGUUUCUGACACAGAAAGAAUGUGGUCUAAGAACUUCAAUUUUUUUAAUUUACCUAUUAUGGUCCAAUGUCCAAAAUCAAAAUACAUGGUUAGAUUCAGCAUAUCAAAGAACCCCAUAUAUUCAAUUUUUGUUGAAAUCAAACAAAGUUUAAUUUUGGACCCCAACUUGGACAAACUUGAAAACUGGUCCCAUAAUCAAAAAUCUAAACACAUGUUUAGAUUCAGCAUAUCAAAGUACCCGAAGAAUUCAAUUUUUGUUAAAAUCAAACUAAGUUUAAUUUUGGACCCUUUGGACCUUAAUGUAGACAAAUUUAAAAAACGGGACCCAAAAUUAAAAAUCUAAAAACACGGUUAGAUUUGGCAUAUCAAAGAACCCCAAUUAUUCAAUUUUUGAUGAAAUCAAACAAAGUUUAAUUUUGGACCCUUUUUACCUCAAUAUGAACCAAUUUGAUAGCGGGCCCACAAAUAAAAAAUCUAAAUACAUGGUAAGAUUCAGCAUAUCAAAGAACCCCAUAUAUUCAAUUUUUGUUGAAAUCAAACAAAGUUUAAUUUUGGACCCCAACUUGGACCAACUUGAAAACUGGUCCCAUAAUUAAAAAUCUAAA